UCAGAAGGAGAAAGAGAAAAAGAGAAGGAGAAAGAAAGGAAGAAAAUAGAGGAGGACAGGAAAGGGUUGUUUACUCAACUUGCCCAGUUUUACCCUCUUUCUUAUCGGGAGCCUUCUGCUUCUCUUGUUGAGCUUGUUUAAGAGGGGAAGAGAGAGAGAGAGAGGAAGAGAAGAAAAAGAGAAG
rnacentral:ribozyme from 1 species